rnacentral:rRNA from 1 species
ACAGCAGUCGCCGCGGUAACACGAAGGGGGCUAGCGUUGUUCGGAUUUACUGGGCGUAAAGGGCGCGUAGGCGGACUGAUAAGUCAGGGGUGAAAUCCCAAGGCUCAACCUUGGAACUGCCUUUGAUACUGUUUGUCUUGAGUUCGAGAGAGGUAAGUGGAACUGCGAGUGUAGAGGUGAAAUUCGUAGAUAUUCGCAAGAACACCAGUGGCGAAGGCGGCUUACUGGCUCGAAACUGACGCUGAGGCGCGAAAGCGUGGGGAGCAAACAGGAUUAGAUACCCCUGUAGUCCCUGUCUCUUAUAC